GUAGUCCACGCCCUAAACGAUGUACACUUGAUGUCGGCCUGUAAGGGUCGGUGUCGGAGCUAACGCGUUAAGUGUACCACCUGGGGAGUACGCUCGCAAGGGUGAAACUCAAAGGAAUUGACGGGGGCCCGCACAAGCAGUGGAGCAUGUGGUUUAAUUCGAUGCAACGCGAAGAACCUUACCUAGGCUUGAAAAGCAUUCUAAACCUGUGAAAGCAGGGUACCCGCAAGGGGGGAUGUACAGGUGCUGCAUGGCUGUCGUCAGCUCGUGCCGUGAGGUGUUUGGUUAAGUCCAGCAACGAGCGCAACCCCUAGAUUCAGUUGCCAGCACGUAAUGGUGGGAACUCUGGAUCGACUGCCUACGCAAGUAGUGA
rnacentral:rRNA from 1 species